GUGCCAGCCGCCGCGGUAAUACGUAGGUGGCAAGCGUUGUCCGGAUUUAUUGGGCGUAAAGCGAGCGCAGGCGGUUUCUUAAGUCUGAUGUGAAAGCCUUCGGCUCAACCGAAGAAGUGCAUCGGAAACUGGGAAACUUGAGUGCAGAAGAGGACAGUGGAACUCCAUGUGUAGCGGUGAAAUGCGUAGAUAUAUGGAAGAACACCAGUGGCGAAGGCGGCUGUCUGGUCUGUAACUGACGCUGAGGCUCGAAAGCAUGGGUAGCAAACAGGAUUAGAUACCCUGGUAGUCCAUGCCGUAAACGAUGAGUGCUAGGUGUUGGAGGGUUUCCGCCCUUCAGUGCCGCAGCUAACGCAUUAAGCACUCCGCCUGGGGAGUACGACCGCAAGGUUGAAACUCAAAGGAAUUGACGGGGGCCCGCACAAGCGGUGGAGCAUGUGGUUUAAUUCGAAGCAACGCGAAGAACCUUACCAGGUCUUGACAUCCUUUGACCACUCUAGAGAUAGAGCUUUCCCUUCGGGGACAAAGUGACAGGUGGUGCAUGGUUGUCGUCAGCUCGUGUCGUGAGAUGUUGGGUUAAGUCCCGCAACGAGCGCAACCCUUAUUACUAGUUGCCAGCAUUAGGUUGGGCACUCUAGUGAGACUGCCGGUGACAAACCGGAGGAAGGUGGGGACGACGUCAAAUCAUCAUGCCCCUUAUGACCUGGGCUACACACGUGCUACAAUGGAUGGUACAACGAGUUGCGAGACCGCGAGGUUUAGCUAAUCUCUUAAAACCAUUCUCAGUUCGGAUUGUAGGCUGCAACUCGCCUACAUGAAGCCGGAAUCGCUAGUAAUCGCGGAUCAGCAUGCCGCGGUGAAUACCCUCCCGGGCCUUGCACACCCCGCCCGU
rnacentral:rRNA from 1 species